rnacentral:lncRNA from 1 species
UUCAUAAUUGUUCAUCAUCACGUUUGUGAACGAACUAAAACUAAUCUCAGUUAAAUCUUUUUUUGUUUCUAUCUGCUGCUAUGAGUAUGACAGGUUCAGUGAAGUUGAUGGCAGCUCUCAAGUUUAUAUUUGGAAAAUUUAAGCCUAAGAAUUUACAUUACAAGAAGAUUGAUAAGACUGAGAGCAUGAGGAUGGAGAUGAGCCCAGAAGUUGGUUGCUAAAAAUUUGCAGAAAGCUGAUCUUAUUACAAUGAAAAAGAACUUUGGUUGUCUCUAAGACACUUGAAUUGGG